GAGUCUAACAUGUGCGCGAGUCAUUGGGACACGCAAACCUAAAGGCGAAAUGAAAGUGAAGGUCAGCCUAGCGCCGACCGAGGGAGGAUGGGCCGCGUCACGAUGCGGCCCCGCACUCCCGGGGCGUCUCGUUCUCAUUACGAGAAGAGGCGCACCCAGAGCGUACACGUUGGGACCCGAAAGAUGGUGAACUAUGCCUGGUCAGGACGAAGUCAGGGGAAACCCUGAUGGAGGUCCGUAGCGAUUCUGACGUGCAAAUCGAUCGUCGGAACUGGGUAUAGGGGCGAAAGACUAAUCGAACCAUCUAGUAGCUGGUUCCCUCCGAAGUUUCCCUCAGGAUAGCUGGCACUCGCGUACAAAACUUACACGAGUCUCAUCCGGUAAAGCGAAUGAUUAGAGGCCUUGGGGCCGAAACGACCUCAACCUAUUCUCAAACUUUAAAUGGGUGAGAUCUCUGGCUUGCUUGAACUAUGAAGCCACGAGAUUUCGGAU
rnacentral:rRNA from 1 species